UAGUUCUUUACAAUGUAAAUAUUUUAUGUCAAAUCGUCACAAUCGUCAAAAAUUCUCAAUCAAUAUGCUAGUAUUGGUGUGUCCAUUUUCAGCUGUAUUCCUAUGCCUCUUGUGUCUGUCGUGCUGUGCUCUUUACUAGCAGCCGUUAUAGUCAUAACAUGCACACGAGAAUGUUCGAUUAAAUUGAAAAAAGAAUGAUGAUUUGGUUUGAAGAAAUUAGACAUAACAUCAAGAACAUAAAUUUUCUGCUGACAAUGGUUAACUUACCUCCAGUAUUGAAGAGCUUGCUCUAUUAACAAAAUUAUAUGUAAUAUGUGUGCAGUUAACAUGUACUUACACUUAUUAUAAUUUUCGACGAAAUAAAUUCAUAAAUUUUUGUUA